CCCCCAUAUCUGAUGGAAGUCAUUGGGAACCCUAGAGCCUGCCAGCAGGCUGUGACCUCUGGGACCCUCCUGGAACCACGCAUUUGUCCAUGGCUGGCUGCUCUUUGACUUCUGAUUCCUGUUGCAGGGUCUCCUUGCUUGGUGAGCCUGGUGGUUGACCAUCAGCUCUGGCAUCGUGGGGCCCACACCAGCCGGGCUAGCCUCCCAUCCGCUGGAAAACAUGGGAGUACUGAGCAUCAAUUCCUCCUUAGUCUUGCAACAGGAUGGAACAGUUCCCAGGGCGCUGGCACUUCCAUUGGCAGCAGCAGAAGAACCAAAAUAGGACACACCAAAUGGAUCUAAUUUUGCCUGAACCUCAGUCUGCAAGGAUCAUGAUUUGCCAUCUGGGCACGAGCUUAGGGAAGCUCUGGGAACAGCUCUACUCCCAGAAACCUGGGUGAAAAUCAUCUAGACCCAGCAGGGAAGUCUCUGCGUCAGUGGGGCCUUGCUGGGCUGCCCUCCCGGUCCCCACAGCUGUUUCAAGGAGGGGCCUGAACACCAGGCCCUGGAAAACCCAACGAUGAUGUUGCUGGAGUUGGUCCCAGGGCUCACUCUGGGACAGGCAUGGGCUCCUCCUCUCCACUGGUGGGGGCUCCCAUUCGCUGGAUCCAACCAGACAGAGCAGGACAGUUCCUGGAGCCCCAGAAGAGUGGCGAGUGGAGGAGUGAUCUGCUGGGGAAUGGAGUUGCAUCAGAAGAUAUGGAACCAUUGAGAGGACCUUUCUUGGUGAAUGGCCAGGUGUGCCUUUGGGAAGGGUCUCUCCCACCCACUGUGGCUUGGAGCAGGCCCUCCCUGGACAGCGGCUCCGUUCCUGCUGAGUGAAAAGGAAGAAGCACUUGGCUCUCCCCACAGGAGGUGCAUGAAGAUUAAUUAGCAAAUCAAUUUGGGCAGGGAAAGGAACAAGGCUAUUACAGUUAACACCACUCCACCCGAGAGUCGCUGGGUCCUCGCUAUUCAUCAUUCCUAAUUAAUUAAAAAGUAAUUACUUAUGGAUCUGACUUUCAUUAUUUACACCCCCCGGGCUGUGAGGAUAUUACUUUCCUCAGUCCCUCUGGUUCCCUAAGCUGCUUUGGUGCCAGCAAUUGCAGCAGGAAGUGUGACGAGGUCCAAUCACACACAGCAUCCCAGUAAGGGGAUUUAAGUCCCCAUCAGAGGCCGUGCAUCUGUAGCCCCCGCUGACGGCCCAGGAGGGAACUCUGAGGAGGUAGAGAUACCCUGGUCUGCUCCAUGUGGCAGGUUAACCCUAGGACGAUUG
rnacentral:lncRNA from 10 species